rnacentral:rRNA from 1 species
ACUACAUGAAGCCGGAAUCGCUAGUAAUCGCGGAUCAGAAUGCCGCGGUGAAUACGUUCCCGGGUCUUGUACACACCGCCCGUCACACCAUGGGAGUCGGAAAUGCCCGAAGCCGGUGACCCAACCCGAAAGGGAGGGAGCCGUCGAAGGCAGGUCGGAUGACUGGGGUGAAGUCGUAACAAGGUAAC